rnacentral:tRNA from 1 species
GCCCGGUUGGCGCAAUGGUAGCGCGUCGCCCUCCUAAGGCGAAGGCUGCGGGUUCGAUCCCCGUGCUGGGUG